AUGACUUUCAUCCCCGUCUUCAUCUGGACACUGAUCCUCUGGACUCAAGAAUGCAGAGGUCAAGCCACAGUAACUCAGACUCCUGCAGUGAAAUCUGCUCUUCCAGGAGAAACAGUCACCAUCAACUGUAGAACCAGUCAGGCAGUGUAUCACAGCAGCUCAUAUGGUCACUACUUACACUGGUAUCAGCAGAAACCUGGAGAAGCUCCUAAACUCCUGAUUAAGCUCGCAAAUCAGCGAGAGUCAGGUAUUCCAGCUCGUUUCAGUGGCAGUGGAUCUGGAUCUGAUUUCACUCUGACCAUCAGUGGAGUCCAGACUGAAGAUGCAGGAGAUUAUUACUGUCAGAGUGGACAUGCCAUCACUGGCUACUGGUUACACUCUGGUCCUGAUCUGGACUCUGACUCAGUCACUGGUGUAACUCCUCUUGACCCUGAACCUGCUGUUCAUUCUCUUUAUUUCCUAGUGCAGACUGAGACCUGGUUUGCUGCAGAGGAUUCAGGGACACUGUGGAGGAAUGAACUUCCUCUGGCUGACUGA